UACACUCCUACGGGAGGCAGCAGUGGGGAAUAUUGCACAAUGGGCGCAAGCCUGAUGCAGCCAUGCCGCGUGUAUGAAGAAGGCCUUCGGGUUGUAAAGUACUUUCAGCGGGGAGGAAGGCGAUAAGGUUAAUAACCUUGUCGAUUGACGUUACCCGCAGAAGAAGCACCGGCUAACUCCGUGCCAGCAGCCGCGGUAAUACGGAGGGUGCAAGCGUUAAUCGGAAUUACUGGGCGUAAAGCGCACGCAGGCGGUCUGUCAAGUCGGAUGUGAAAUCCCCAGGCUCAACCUGGGAACUGCAUUCGAAACUGGCAGGCUAGAGUCUUGUAGAGGGGGGUAGAAUUCCAGGUGUAGCGGUGAAAUGCGUAGAGAUCUGGAGGAAUACCGGUGGCGAAGGCGGCCCCCUGGACAAAGACUGACGCUCAGGUGCGAAAGCGUGGGGAGCAAACAGGAUUAGAUACCCGGGUAGUCCCAUG
rnacentral:rRNA from 1 species